ACAGGGUUUCACCAUCUUAGCCAGGAUGGUCUCGAUCUCCUGACCUCGUGAUCCCCCAUCCUCGGUCUCCCAAAGUGCUGGGAUUACAGGCAUGAACCACCAUGCCCGGCCCAAUUUGGUUUAAUGAGUUAAUCUCACUUGGUGAAUAUGAAAAGGCAGCUUGUUAUGCAGCAAACAGUCCUAGAAGAAUUCUUCGAAACAUUGGUACAAUGAAUACAUUUAAGGUUGAGACAGGGUUUCCCAUGUUGGCCAGACUGGUUUCAAACUCC
rnacentral:lncRNA from 1 species